rnacentral:rRNA from 1 species
GUUUGAUCCUGGCUCAGGACGAACGCUGGCGGCGCGCCUAACACAUGCAAGUCGAACGAGCGAGAGAGAGCUUGCUUUCUCGAGCGAGUGGCGAACGGGUGAGUAACGCGUGAGGAACCUGCCUCAAAGAGGGGGACAACAGUUGGAAACGACUGCUAAUACCGCAUAAGCCCACGACCCGGCAUCGGGUAGAGGGAAAAGGAGCAAUCCGCUUUGAGAUGGCCUCGCGUCCGAUUAGCUAGUUGGUGAGGUAACGGCCCACCAAGGCGACGAUCGGUAGCCGGACUGAGAGGUUGAACGGCCACAUUGGGACUGAGACACGGCCCAGACUCCUACGGGAGGCAGCAGUGGGGAAUAUUGCACAAUGGGGGAAACCCUGAUGCAGCGACGCCGCGUGGAGGAAGAAGGUCUUCGGAUUGUAAACUCCUGUUGUUGAGGAAGAUAAUGACGGUACUCAACAAGGAAGUGACGGCUAACUACGUGCCAGCAGCCGCGGUAAAACGUAGGUCACAAGCGUUGUCCGGAAUUACUGGGUGUAAAGGGAGCGCAGGCGGGAAGACAAGUUGGAAGUGAAAUCCAUGGGCUCAACCCAUGAACUGCUUCAAAA